rnacentral:tRNA from 2 species
GCGGGAAUAGCUCAGUUGGUAGAGUGCAACCUUGCCAAGGUUGAUGUCGCGAGUUCGAAUCUCGUUUCCCGCU